rnacentral:lncRNA from 1 species
GGUGGCUUCAGAGUGGCUCUCCCUCAACCUGCGGAGUUCGCCUUCCAUCUUCUUCGACCUUUUCGUCAAAUGAAGAACCUCCUUCUUCAGGCGCUGGAUCAUGGACUUCAGCGAAAUCCCCUGAGGCAAGGGAAGCACUUCGGUAGGGCACUGCCAUCGGAAGGUCAACACGUUAAGAUGCAGCUCAUUACAAAGAAGAAGAAAGAAAGAAAGAAAAAGAAGAGAAGAAAAGUCCCCCACAAGGAGGAGACCAAUUUUAUUGACUGAACGUUUCUUGAAGAUAAAAGAAAGAAGAAAAAUGGCAAUAA